ACUGCCCUCUCAUCCUUAUCUCAUCCUCUUGCAUUUCUCUUUCUCCUUUUUUUUCCAUUGCCAGUCAUGGGAGCGGUAGCCCCGACCUUGCUCAUCUCUUUCCUCUCUCUACUCCUCCCUCCCCUACCUCCCGAGCUACAGAGGGCUAUUGAGAGCGCGCGGUCAACACCCUUCAGAGAGCUGCUGCAAAAGGGGAAUUGCGCAGCCAGGAUGCACUCGUCACCAUUGGUCGCCCAGCGAAGCCCAGUGUUUUCAGGUAGGCGACGACGGGCUACAAGUGGGGCGGCACCGCCAACCACCUAUGCGAUUUCGCCGGCGAAGAUGCUGCUACCCCGGCGUGGCGGAGCUGCAACCGUAGUUCGGCGGAGCUACAACCGUAUGCUGGUGGAGUAGCAACCAGCAAGACAAAUGCCAGAACCGGCGGCAGCCGUGUUGUGAUGGCCACGACGGUGGUCCAUAAUUGCUGGAGCCAGCAAAAAAAAUUGCUGGAAGCGGUGAUUUUUUUGCUACGACCGUACUAACGAUGAUUCAUAGUUUUGCUGGAAACGUUAAGUACUUUUGCUGGAACCCUUUUCUUUUUUUUUUGUUGCAAGCAUAAUUUCUUCUUGUUAUCACCGUUUUGAUUCUUGGUGGAACAAACAUCCAUUACUUUUGUUACCAUGGUCUUGGAUUUUUGUUGGAACCAGAGUAUUUUUCUGCUACAACUAUUCUUUAGUUUCAUUGGAACAAACA